UACGGAAGGGGCAAGCGUUGCUCGGAAUCAUUGGGCGUAAAGGGCGCGUAGGUGGUUCUGUAUGUCUACCGUGAAAGCGUACGGCUCAACCGUAUUUUGUCGGUGGAAACUGCAGGACUUGAGGCUGGGGAGGGGGCUGGUGGAAUUCCCUGUGUAGCGGUGAAAUGCGUAGAGAUGGGGGAGAACGACUCGUGGGCGGAAAGGGCGGCC
rnacentral:rRNA from 1 species